rnacentral:rRNA from 1 species
CGGCAGCACGGUCUUCGGACUGGUGGCGAGCGGCGGACGGCUGAGUAACGCGUAGGAACGUGCCCCAAAGUGAGGGAUAAGCCCUGGAAACAGGGUCUAAUACCGCAUAUGCUCUUCGGAGUAAAGCUUUAUGCGCUUUGGGAGCGGCCUGCGCACGAUUAGAUUGUUGGUGAGGUAACGGCUCACCAAGUCGACGAUCGUUAGCUGGUCUGAGAGGAUGAUCAGCCAGACUGGAACUGAGACACGGUCCAGACUCCUACGGGAGGCACCAAUGAGGAAUCUUCCACAAUGGGGGCAACCCUGAUGGAGCAACGCCACGUGAAGGAUGAAGGCCUUAGGGUCGUAAACUUCUUUUCUUAACGAAUAAUAUGACGGAAACUAAUGAAUAAGGGUCGGCUAACUACGUGCCAGCAGCCGCGGUCAUACGUAGGACCCGAGCGUUAUCCGGAGUGACUGGGCGUAAGGAGUUGCGUAAGCGGUCAAGUAAAGCAGAUAGUGAAAUCUAGUGGCUCAACCAUUUAGGCUAUUAUCUGAACUGCUUGACUCGAGAGUAGUAGAGGUACCUGGAAUUUCUAGUGCAGGGGUGAAAUCCGUAGAUAUUAGAAGGAACACCAAUGGCGUAGGCAGGGUACUGGACUAUUUCUGACGCUGAGGCACGAAAGCGUGGGGAGCGAACCGGAUUAGAUACCCGGGUAGUCCACGCCGUAAACUAUGGAUGCUAGCUGUUGGAGGUAUCGACCCCCCCAGUAGCGAAGCUAACGCGUUAAGCAUCCCGCCUGUGGAGUACGGCCGCAAGGCUAAAACAUAAAGGAAUCGACGGGGACCCGCACAAGCGGUGGAGCGUGUUGUUUAAUUCGAUGGUAAGCGAAGAACCUUACCAGGGCUUGACAUCCUGUGAAGACAUCCGAAAGGAUAUUGUGCCGCAAGGAACACAGUGACAGGUGCUGCAUGGCCGUCGUCAGCUCGUGUCGUGAGAUGUUUGGUUAAGUCCAUCAACGAGCGCAACCCUUAUGAAUAGUUGUAUUUUUCUAUUCAGACUGCCCUGGUAACAGGGAGGAAGGGGGGGAUGAUGUCAGGUCAGUAUUGCCCUUACGCCCUGGGCUACAAACGCGCUACAAUGGCCGGUACAAUGGGCAGCCAACCCGCGAGGGGGAGCUAAUUUCAUCAAAGCCGGUCCCAGUUCGGAUUGCAGGCUGAAACUCGCCUGCAUGAAGUUGGAAUCGCUAGUAAUCGCAGAUCAGCAUGCUGCGGUGAAUACGUUCCCGGGUCUUGUACACAC